rnacentral:ncRNA from 2 species
CGCGCUCACAGCGCCGAUUUGAUCCGAAUUGCGGGCGCUUUAAAAAUGCCGCUAAAGAAGAGACUCCUGGCCC